rnacentral:rRNA from 1 species
AUGCAUAAUGGGAUUUUCCCCAUUGUUUAUCACCUGCGAACGCAGUCCUCUGGCCAGGGAGCCCGGGCACUUGCCCGGGGUGGCCGGGCGCUAGCUCCGCCACUGCCCGACACCGAUUCCCUCUUCGUCAACGUCGGGGACUCCCUCCAGGUGCUGACGAACGGGCGGUUCCGGAGCGUGAAGCACCGGGUGGUGGCGCCGGCGGAGGGGGAGCAGUCGCGGCUGUCGGUGAUCUACUUCGGCGGACCGGCGCCGACACAGCGGAUCGCGCCGCUGCCGGAGCUGAUGCGGGAAGGGGAGCAGAGCCUGUACAUGUACAGGGAGUUCACCUGGGCCGAGUACAAGAAGGCCGCCUACAAGUCCCGCCUUGGUGACCACCGCCUCGGCCCCUUCGAGCUACCUGCCGCAGCCGCCUCCGAAGAAUCCACUACCAAGGCCAACCACCGCUGCAGCAGCAACGCCGCCGUCCAGGCGCCGGCGCCGGCGCCUCACGUGGCACGAGUGCACUAG